UACAGAGGUCCCAAGCGUUGUUCGGAUUCACUGGGCGUAAAGGGUGCGUAGGUGGUGAGGUAAGUCGGAUGUGAAAGCUCGGAGCUCAACUCCGAAAUGGCAUUGGAAACUACCCAGCUAGAGGGUCGGAGGGGGGACUGGAAUUCUCGGUGUAGCAGUGAAAUGCGUAGAUAUCGAGAGGAACACCAGUGGCGAAGGCGAGUCCCUGGACGACUCCUGACACUGAGGCACGAAAGCUAGGGGAGCAAACAGG
rnacentral:rRNA from 1 species